GAAUUUGAAUGAGACCUUCCAGACUCAUUUCACUUGUGGCUUUUUCCACAGGUGAAGGGUGAGUGCAGCUGUCCUGUGCUGAGUCCCGUGCACUGCUGAGGUAUAGGCAGACUCUGUUCUCCACUUUCAGGGCAGGGGUGGGAAGAUGCCAGAAGGGACGACCUCCUCACCUAUUAUGGUAGAAGUGUUGGGGACCUGGCUGGGCAUGUGGCUGGAUUUGCUGAAUCUCAGCUUUCAUCUUAAAACAAAAAGGAUUUGGAGCCCCCUAAGCUUCAUGAUCCAGGUCAGCCUUCCACCGACCUCUUAUCUUGCCUACCCUGCUUCUGCUUCACCUGAGCUGGAGAGACUGGGCCUAGAAGAGCAGGUAGGGGUGAGAGGGCUGCCAGCUGGUACGUGCUGAUGGUGCCAGUCCACUGCUGGCUAAAUGCCAUGCUGCUGUGGUCAAUAAGGCUGUGCAAAUGUGGCUCUGUUCACCUUGCUCCAGCCUGACUAUUCCCAUAGCAGCCUGCAGAGGAGGUGGAGGGGAACAGGACCUGUGUAACCACUAGGCACACUCGGCGACGGCCUUGGGCGCCAAGAUUUGGGGGUGGCAAAAAGCGGUGCCCCAAUUUUUUUUUUCCAGUAUUGCUUAGGGGCAGGUAUCUGUCAGUCUCCAGUGCUCAUCCCGUGCCAACAGCCUCUUCACCUCGGAGUCUCCCCCGCUUGUCCGGGGGCCACUACUUCUCUCAGGCUCCCCAGCUGCUGCCACCAU
rnacentral:lncRNA from 1 species